UACGAAGGGGGCUAGCGUUGCUCGGAAUUACUGGGCGUAAAGCGCACGUAGGCGGCUUUGUAAGUUAGAGGUGAAAGCCCGGAGCUCAACUCCGGAACUGCCUUUAAGACUGCAUCGCUUGAAUCCAGGAGAGGUGAGUGGAAUUCCGAGUGUAGAGGUGAAAUUCGUAGAUAUUCGGAAGAACACCAGUGGCGAAGGCGGCUCACUGGACUGGUAUUGACGCUGAGGUGCGAAAGCGUGGGGAGCAAACAGG
rnacentral:rRNA from 1 species